rnacentral:rRNA from 1 species
AAUCGUAGGUCAGCAUACUACGGUGAAUACUUCCCGGGCCUUGUACACACCGCCCGUCAAACCAUGAGAGUUGGCAACACCCGAAGUCGGUAGUCUAACCGCAAGGAGGACGCCGCCGAAGGUGGGGGUUGAUGAUUAGGGGUUAAGUCGUAACAAGGUACC